GUUUUGACCCUAUCUCUAUUUUCCGUGCACCCGGCCUCCCAACCUUUCCUCUCAAUUUAUUCUGUCUGUGAUCGUGCUGGGCGCCUUCGGGGUUCAUAAGAGUCUUUGAAUCUGAAAAGGUUUGGUUCUCACGAGCUAAACUCUAGUACGACUCGCUGAUUUUUCCCGCUGGCGUUGCCAAACAACCCAAACCCUUAAAUCUAAUUGCUCUGAACUCUUUAGUUGCGGAUACAAUUCAUUUUGUUUCAACAACGAAUUAAAAACAAACAACAACUCUUAACAACGGAUAUCUUGGUUCUCGCAACGAUGAAGAACGCAGCGAAAUGCGAUACGUAAUGCGAAUUGCAGAAUUCCGUGAAUCAUCAAGUUUUUGAACGCAAAUUGCGGUCUCAUUUACGUGAGACCACGCCUCUUUGAGUGUCGGUUUAACUUCCUUCUGGCAGCGUGCUGUCUUUGUAAGGGCAUUUUUGAGCACCUCUUGUUACUCUUCACUGAGCUACAAGUUGCUUUAAGUACUUGGGGAAGACCUAAAUAACCUUCCCUUCCAGUUUGCACCGCGGAAAUAUGCGCUAAGAAGUGCUUGUUCUGAGGUGGCGUGGAUAAUUUCACUUCUUAAAUGAAGUGGUCCAAUACGUCAUCUUCUUUCUAGCAAUAGUGAGACGAUCCGGCGGACAAACACUUCGGUGUUUGUUUCAAUGGGCUUCUACUUGCACUUUGUAUAUUUUUUAGCACCGCUUACAAAACCCCACCAAACAGACCUCAAAUGAAGCGAGAGGACCCGGUGAAUUUAAGCAUAUUAUUAACCGGAGGAAAAGAAACUAACAAGGAUUCCCCUAGUAACGGCGAGUGAAGCGGG
rnacentral:rRNA from 1 species